rnacentral:rRNA from 1 species
GACGAACGCUGGCGGCGUGCUUAACACAUGCAAGUCGAACGAAGUGGCGAACGGGUGAGUAACGCGUAAUCAACCUGCCCUUCAGAGGGGGACAACAGUUGGAAACGACUGCUAAUACCGCAUACUGAAGGAGGGGAUGGCGUUCUAUCUGCUAGUUGGGGGGGUAACGGCCCACCAAGGCGCUGAUCAGUAGCCGGUCUGGGGCGGUGAACGGCCCAAUUGGGACCGGGACACUGCCCAGACUCCUACGGGAGGCAGCAGUGGGGAAUCUUCCGCAAUGGACGGAAGUCUGACGGAGCAACGCCGCGUGGGUGAUGACGGCCUUCGGGUUGUAAAGCUCUGUUAAUCGGGACGCGGUACCUGAAUAGAAAGCCACGGCUAACUACGUGCCAGCAGCCGCGGUAAUAC